AGAUUAGAUGAUGAAUGAGAUUAAUUUCCCUAUUGGUUUGAUUGGGCGAUAUGAUGGCCUCUACUGAACCGAAUAUGAUCAUCC
rfam:Hordeum vulgare subsp. vulgare, WGS project CAJW01000000 data, contig: morex_contig_1951303